AAACUAAAGGGGGCAUUUAUCAUUCAAGUCACCACAGUAUCCUAUUUGGUUGGCUAAUGCUCCUCUCAGAAACCGCAGGUUUUAAAAUGCCAGGUAUCUGAUACUUCCCUGUAAGUUACUGCCCAAGAAGAUGUCAGAGGCCACCCAAGCUAACCAGGGUAUUCUUAUUGCUCUUGAACUCAGGCAGAUGGUAAGACCUUGUUGCUGAAGACAUUAUUCACUUUGAAUACAAGACACAGAAAAAUUAAACUGCAACCGAGCCAGAAGUGUUCUUCCAGCUGAUUCACUUAGAGAGGAGAGCGAAGUCUGCAGGUGCAGUUAGACAUUUCUCUAGAGGUCUGAGGAACCUACAAGGAUGGACACUUUUAAAUUGGAUCAGCAAUCUUCUAUUUACUUCCUGAUGUGAUGAAAGGAAACCCACUCAUGUGCUACCCGAUGAGCUCUUGGCAUAGGCUGGCUGAGGUUCUGCUCCCAUCUCACUGAGAUAUAAUAAUUGUGGCAGUGUGAAGCACUUGGUGAAACAGGAAAAUGGGAAAAACUGCAAGGCCAAUUUGAAAACCCUUUAUUAAUUUGAGCCACAUGUAAUAGAAGCCUGAAACAAGACCGUCAUAAUGGGACCAGGAACCAGCGGAGGAGGAAGAUGGGAAAAGGCCUUCCAAUCCAUAGGCUAUGAAGGAAAAGAAGGAAAGAUGCUUGGUGGUGAACACAUCGGGGAUUCCCUACAAGGCCAAGUUUACUGCGCCUGUGAAAAGACUGCCUGUAUUUAGAUCACGUCCCAGCUACUGAGCAGACACGUGACCACAAACACGUAAGUUACCGCCCACCGUUGCCAUCAAAGGUUUCCAGUCUGGAAAACAAUGUUGUUUCCCCGACCCCACAGGCUAUCAAACGAAAUAGCAUGUGGAAAGUGCUUCCUAGGAGUGCCAGGGCCGCUGCUUAAUGACUAUUAGAAUUACUGCUACCAAACGCAAAGAGCAAAGGGGCAGACAUUUGGCAGGUGUACCGACACAUCUCGUCUGCAGAGCACACCCUUCUGAGUCCAGACACAGGCCCAGAAGGAUCCUGCACCUGGUUCCAAACCAGCUAACGCCACUGACUCAGGUGACGCCCGCGGCGUGAAGAAUGGACACAGUGAUAGUGCGAACGUAAAAGCAUUCUCUAACGAUGCGUUAAAGGCAGCCGCACGUGCCGGCCCUGUUGGUGGUUUUCACGUGGGAGGUGAGUCACUUGACAGAUACAGGCUGCGUUUUGGCAGACUCUGACAUGCGAAACUCCCCUCUUGCUGGGAGCCUCCCAUGGAUGUGUUUAAACUUUGACAGAGACCUUGUGAAAUGCCUCCUCUGAAGGAGGCUGCUGCUUACAUUCCGCAGAGGUUUGUCUGUCAAAGGAUCUCUUGCACCCUACACACCACAUCUCACUUCCUUAUCCAGAGCCUAUUUUAAGUCAGACGUGGAAAAACUCAGCGGGAUUUGUACGUGGAGUUUUAGACAAGUUAAGGCAGGCCUCGCGGGAAUUAAGCCGCGCACAUCACAUAACAUUCUAGAUUCAGCGAUUGGUUAAAUACCUUCAUCAGCCAAAAUUACUUAAUAUCUGUAACAGGCUGGGCCUGAGUGAUGGAGCUGAGGAGCUUUCAUCCUUAGGAAGAGCACAGUUUUAAUUGGUGUGAAAGAGCUAUAGGCUAAUAAUUAUAAUGUAAUGUGGCAGGCUUGUUGAUAUCCGGAUUUUCAAAUGAUACAUAGAAGAGACUAGGAAUAAAUUGUGCCGGUCUACUGUGCUUACCUUAAUAGUUCUGAAUAGCAGUUGCCUUGAGUUUGCUAUCUUACUUCCUUAUUAGGCAAGGACAAAUUCCUCCCAUAGAAAUUAUCUCACUGACAGCACAGCCAGGCCUUUUGGUUUGGUUUGGUUUGCUGGGUCCUGAGAGUGUAUGUCUGAUUUAGGUAUAACUGCUCUGCUAAGGUACCACUGUAGCCAUCACUCAUGAUAAGAAACUGCUGCACAUGGAGGAGUCUGUGGGAGAAAAGGUCAAUGUUAAGAAUGGCCAAUCAAUAUACAAUUUCUGCCAUCUAAUGGUUUUGCAAAGUGAUUUGCAUGCCUCGGGUAAAUCCUUUACAUUUAAGUAUAAAGAAUGCAAGUUAUGGAAAUAAACAAAUAUUUCAGGGUAACAAGAAACAAAUGCGCUUUACUGCUUCAUUACAACUGACAAAAGAAAAUUGUAUCUCAGCACUGAAUUUUUAAGACGUAAUGUUAAGACACAAUGCCAAUAUUAACUUGAAUGGAAGCAGGGGAUGUGUAGAGGAAAAAAUCAAUACACUUCUUUGCUAAACUACCCCUUAGGAAAAAAAAAAAGUUGUUGGGUUUUUUGUUUGUUUGUUUGUUUUUGUUUUUUAAUGAGUUGUGGGGAGUAAAAUCAGAAUGACUUUUGGGGAGUGGAAAGAAAUAGCAUGCAAGAAGUUUAGAACACUUUAAUGAAAUUUGGAGAAAAUUAAAAAAAAAAGUCUUCAGUCACGAAUAAUAACACAAGACAAUGAUGUGAGUGGUGAGGGGUAAUGCUUGUAAUCAUUGGGUCAAAACCAGCUUGAACUACAGGGAAAGGCUCUGUCUUAAAGGCAAAACCAAAAGUGAAACAAGACAGUGUGAGUACAUCAAGGGACUGAAUGAAGUGGAAGAAACAAUGAGAUACCAUCCUUCUUUGACCUGAAUGGGCAGUUUUCCCAGGGAAAGGACAUCUUAGCCGUUCACACAAGGACAAACAGUUAUUACCUGCUUGACUCUGGUAGAGACUCAUGCUAUCUCUGAAAAUUGAUUCAUGCACUAAUAAAAAUAAUGUGUCUUACCAGGCCUGGUAGCUCAGGCCUAUACUCUCAUAUAAGGCAGAAGGAUCCUAAGUUUGAAUUCUGCCUGGUGCAUAUCUGUCUCAAAAUGGAAAACAAAAACAUGGCAGGAGAUGCAGGCAGCUCUCUGCAGCCUGUAGCAUCCAUCUUCAGGACCAUAAGCCAAAUAUGCAUCUUAAGUCAGUGGUGGCAUUGUCUUCCUUCUCUUCUCUCUGUGUUAGGGACAUUGGCAUGGUGUAGAUGGCUCACAAAAUGAAACAUGAUUCUUCAUGUACAAUUGUCACUCAAGACAGACACCACCUUAAUAUUGAGGCUUGGAAGGAACCAAAAAGCAGCAUUAUGAAAUAUUCAGCACUUUUACUCUCAAAUCUCAUCAGGAAUUGAGCACUGGAAUAUACUUGGAGGAUAAGGUUGAUGGUGUUUUCUUCAGUAACACUCCUUCUCUCUAAAUAGCACUGGUUUCUAUUUAAAGGAGGGACCAAACUGAAGUCAUACCCAGCAAUAAGUUCCUUGUCUCUUUGUGUUGUUACAGUACAUUGCUCUUGCAAGCAAGAAAUCGAAAAGUCAGUCUGUGCUGAGAUGCCAAGGAAGGGCUACGUUAACUCUUUCUGGUCAUUAUAAGUUUGUGUUGCUCAGAAAUUGACAAAAGCAUAAAUCUUCAAGUGCUCUGAUGCCCUCUUUGAAACCAAUGCAUUAUAUUUUGUGGACUCAGAACUUAUGGAGUCGGUUUUUCUUGGCUAUGAUGUAUUGAUCGGGUUACUAAGUUGAGCUGUCACUCUGUUUCCUAAUUGACAAAAUGUAUUUUAUAAAAUGUUUUCUAAAUUUUUUCAUACUUCUAAAAGUCUUACUCAAUCAUGAAUCUUUAGGAUGCAUUUUCUCUUCUACUGCCACACGAACAAUAAUCAAAUAUUGGUAAGUUAAUUGUAUUUGUUUGUUGUGACAUAUAAGCUAACAAGUAAAUGAUGAUUUAAAACUUAAUCCUGGAUUAAGACUCUUUAGAGGCCUGGAGGGAUGGCUGAGCUGCUAAGAGCAUUUGUUGCUGUUUCAGAGGGCCUGGGUUUGAUUCCCAGAACCCACAUGGUGGCCCACAACUGUCUGUAACUCCAACUCCAUGCCCUCUUCUGGCCUCCCUGGGUACCAGGGAUGAAUGUAAUACACAAACAUGCAUGCAGGCAAAACACACCCAUAUAUGUGAACUAUAAUAAGCCAACAAAAAUUUAAAGACUAUUUAGGGAUCUUUAAGUAAUGGGAGAAGUUAAUUUUUACUAGAUUCAACACCAUGACACUAAAUCAUGAAGCUAUGACUUGGUUUGUUGAGUAGUUGAAUUCCAUCUGGCCUACUUAAUAUCCAAGUUGCCAAAGAACAGCAGUUUUGUGUCAUUUGAAUUGUCAGAACUGGCAUCCGUGCUGUACAACUGCCUCCUCACGCUUUUUCUCUGAGUCUGUAUUGUGAUUACUGCUCUUGUUGACCCAGGGGAGGAAUGGAGAGUGGUGCAAGAUUUGGAAGUCAGAACCUUGAAAACGAAUCAAGAGGAAGCAGCGGCCUGGUGCAGCUUCCCCCGAAUCUGUCCAAACAUCUAAUUGAUUGGAGCGAUGCCACAUUUUUCCAUGCUCUGAGUGCAGAUCUUUAAUCAGCCUUUAAAUUAAACGUUUAGAGCUGUGUCGGUCUUGCAGAAAAGCUUAGUGAAACGAAUACAAGAAAGUUGCCACAUACCCUCCCAAAGGCAAGCACAAGCAUCUUUCACUGGGGAUGCUAACACUGCAGUGGUAUGUUUGUUACAGUGAAUCUGCUGUGACACAUUGUACCUAGAGCCCAUAGUUACACAGGGGCUCACUUUUUGAAUCAUAUGUUGUGCAAAUGUAUAAUGACAUGUAUCUGCCCACUAGUAGAAUAUCAAAAAGGCAAAUCUUUCCCUGUAACACUGUUUCCAACCUAUCCAUUCCUCCCCCCGACACACACACACACACACACACACACAACAUAAAGCCUGGGAAACACUGAUGUUUUGAUUUUCCCCUUAAUCAUGCUUUUCAUAGAAUGUGUAGUAUUUUCACAUGGGUGCCUUGCACUAAAUAACAAGCACUGAGUUGUCCUUUGUGUCCCCCCUUUUUUAAAAUAUGUUUUUUAAGGCACAUGUCGCGGGGAGGAAGAGGGCUGUCUGUGAAUACCAGUGGGAGCAUGCCAUCGCACCUACAUGGAGAUCAGGGAGGUGUUCCUCUCCUUUCAUCACGGGUUAAGGAAUCAAAUUCAUAUGGUCAGGUUUGCAUGGCAAACGCUUACCUGCUAAGCCAUCUUAGAGGCCCUGUCCGUGCCUUGUCACACUAGACUUGUCAUGUCUUUCUAGUAUGGAGUAAUAAUCCAUUAUUACAAGUCUGGAUGUUAAAUGUUUACUCUUUUCUCUUCUUCUGUUAAUAUACAUCCUAAUUGCUUCCAAAUUUCCUACACACAGUGAAAAAGAAUAGCUUUGUUCAUACACAUACACACAUAGUUUUUACAUUUUUCAAUUUAUUUAGGCAAAUAUCAAAGAAUAUAAUCACUAAAUCUUACAGUAAGGGUAAAUUUAGCCCUAUAAGAAACUGCCAGCUUGGUCUCUUGCAUUUCCAUCAGCAGUAUAUUAGCAUCCCCAGUGCUCCACAUCCCCACCAGGACCUGUCAGUGCUUUGGAUUUGGCCAUUUGGAUUGUCAGCCCAGGCUAUCUCACUUUAACCGGUAAUUCCUCAAUGACCUCUCUCAUGUGCCUUUCACGUGGGUCUCUGUGCCUCCUUUGUUGAGGCAUCUAGUCAGGUCUUUCUUUUAUAUGUUAUAUAUAUUUUUAUUUUGAGUUCUAAGAGAUAUCUGUAUAUUUUGAAUAAACGGUGUUUAUUAAAUGUGGUUUUGCAAAUGUUUUCCCUCAGUUGGUAGCAUGUCUCGUCUUUCUUUAAACGUCUUUUACAGUGCAGAAAAUUUCAACUUUAAUGCAGCCUAGCUUCAGGUAUUGCAUACUCAAGAUCACGUAGGUUUUCUUUCACACUACCUUUUAGUAAUAUAGGUUGUUUUUGUUUUUUUUUAAUUUUUAUUUUUACAUUUAGACCUCUGAUCCAUUUUUUUUCUCCAGAUUCAAAGGGGAGUAAAAGGUUUAUAUCUAGCCUUACUGUUUUACAUACGGAUGUCCAGUUAUUUAAGACCAUUUCAUUUUUUAUUAUUUAGGAAAUACUUUAUACCAAUUAUCUGUAAUCAAACCCAUAAAGGUAAGACCUUAUAUAUUUAAUACGGUAUGUAUUACCCCCAUACAAAUAGAAAAAAUAGUCCAGUAUGGCUGUUCACUUCUGUUAAAUGCUAACUUGACACAGAAAACCAAGAUAGUUUUUUUUUCCUGAGUUGACAGCAUAGCUAAUGUUUCCAAAAAUUCAAAUUAUAUAUCUAUAUACAUAUAUAUUCAAAUUAUGUGUGUGAGAGAGAGAAUAGCUGUGACCAUUUAUUUGCUUCAUCUUGGUGCCUUUGCUCCUGUAUAAAGGUCACCUGGCUACACACACAUGAGUACGUUUCUGGGCUCCCUACCCUGUUCCAAACACCCAUUCUUUCAUAAAUAAUACGCUGUCUUCAUUGGCAUCAUUUUAUCCUAGGUCCUUAAUUUGGAUAGUACCAGAUCUCUAACUUCAGUUUUCAAUGUUGAGUUGGCCAUUCUUGGCCUUUUGUCUCCAGGUAAACUUUAGUAUCCGUUUGUCAGAUACCCAUGAAAUAGCUUCACUGGUAACGUUAUUAAGAUUGCAUUGGAGCUGUUCAUCA